AACGGUCUAUACCUGCGGUACCUGCGGAGGGAUCAUUACAUGGCGGAGGAGGUGGGCACCUAGUAAAACAAAACCCUAGGUGUGUUGCCUACCACGCUUUCUACCCUUGUCUAUUUGCACCUUUUGUCGUUCCCUCGGUGGGUCUUGAACCUGCCGGCGGCAACUUUCAAAAACCUUUUGUAGUUAGUAUCUAAUUCUUCUGAUCAAAUAUUCAAUCGUUACAACUUUUAACAAUGGAUC
rnacentral:misc_RNA from 1 species